rnacentral:rRNA from 1 species
AACAAACGCUGGCGGCGUGCCUAAUACAUGCAAGUCGAACGGGGAAAGCUUUCGGGUGAGUACUAGUGGCGCACGGGUGAGUAACGCGUGGAUAAUCUGCCUUAGAGUGGGGGAUAACUAGUCGAAAGAUUAGCUAAUGCCGCAUAAGACCACAAGAACUGCGGUUCAAGAGGUCAAAGGUUUUUCGCUCUAAGAUGAGUCCGCGUAAGAUUAGCUAGUUGGUGAGGUAACGGCUCACCGAGGCAACGAUCUUUAACUGGUCUGAGAGGAUGAUCAGUCACACUGGAACUGAGACACGGUCCAGACUCCUACGGGAGGCAGCAGUAGGGAAUAUUGCACAAUGGAGGAAACUCUGAUGCAGCGACGCCGCGUGAGUGAUGAAGGCCUUCGGGUCGUAAAGCUCUGUCGCAGGGGAAUAACACAAUGAAUGUACCCUGUAAGAAAGGAUCGGCUAACUUCGUGCCAGCAGCCGCCGUAAAAC